GACGAACGCUGGCGGCGUGCUUAACACAUGCAAGUCGAACGGAAAGGCCCUGCUUUUGUGGGGUGCUCGAGUGGCGAACGGGUGAGUAACACGUGAGUAACCUGCCCUUGACUUUGGGAUAACUUCAGGAAACUGGGGCUAAUACCGGAUAGGAGCUCCUGCUGCAUGGUGGGGGUUGGAAAGUUUCGGCGGUUGGGGAUGGACUCGCGGCUUAUCAGCUUGUUGGUGGGGUAGUUGCUUACCAAGACUUUGACGGGUAGCCGGCCUGAGAGGGUGACCGGCCACAUUGGGACUGAGAUACGGCCCAGACUCCUACGGGAGGCAGCAGUGGGGAAUAUUGCACAAUGGGCGGAAGCCUGAUGCAGCAACGCCGCGUGCGGGAUGACGGCCUUCGGGUUGUAAACCGCUUUCGCCUGUGACGAAGCGUGAGUGACGGUAAUGGGUAAAGAAGCACCGGCUAACUACGUG
rnacentral:rRNA from 1 species